AUUGAACGCUGGCGGCAGGCUUAACACAUGCAAGUCGAGCGAGCGGCGGACGGGUGAGUAAUGUCUGGGAAACUGCCUGAUGGAGGGGGAUAACUACUGGAAACGGUAGCUAAUACCGCAUACCAUCAGAUGUGCCCAGAUGGGAUUAGCUUGUAGGUGGGGUAAUGGCUCACCUAGGCGACGAUCCCUAGCUGGUCUGAGAGGAUGACCAGGCAGACUGGAACGGAGACACGGUCCAGACGCCUACGGGAGGCAGCAGUGGGGAAUAUUGGACAAUGGGAGGAAGCCUGAUGCAGCCAUGCCGCGUGUGGGAAGAAGGCCGUCGGGUUGUAAAGCACUUUCAGCGAGUAGGCGUUACUCGCAGAAGAAGCACCGGCUAACUCCGUGCCAGCAGCCGCGGUAAUUC
rnacentral:rRNA from 1 species